rnacentral:rRNA from 1 species
GUACCUUGUGUAUCAGGGUAGAUUAAUUUAUUAAUAAAAAUUUAUUUUUCCCGAAUUUAGAAGAUUUAUUUUUAUAUAUAUCUUAUUGUGAAAUAAAUAUUUUUAAUAUAAAAAUAGAAAUGAAACGUUAUUCGUUUCUAAAUAUAUCUGGUUUUUUAGGAAAAAAGUUUAAUUUGUUUUUUAAUUUAAAAUUUUAUUAUUUUUUAUAAUUUUUAAUUAAAAGGUUAUUUUUUUAGGGAUUAGCUUGAAAAAAUAUAAUUAAAAUAAAAAUAUUAAUUUGUAAAAUUAGGAUUAGAAGUUUUCAUAUUUUAUAGGAUGUUAUAUUUAAUUCAUUAUUUUUUUAAUUUUUAUUUUAUUUAAUUUUUUUACUAAAAUUAAUUAAUUAAUUUUAUAUUUUUUGUUAAAAUGAUUUAAUUAGUAUAAAUUUUUGUUAAAAAAUUUUUGUUUUAAGGUUAAGAAAAGGAAUUCGGCAAAUUAUUUUUCACCUGUUUAAUAAAAACAUGGCCUUUUGAUUAUAAUUUAAGGUCUAGCCUGCCCUAUGAAGUUUUAAAUGGCCGCGGUAUUUUGACCGUGCAAAGGUAGCAUAAUAAUUAGUUUUUUAAUUGAAAGCUGGUAUGAAUGGCUGAAUGAAAAAAUUACUGUCUCUUUUUAAUUUUUUAGAAUUUUAUUUUUUAGUUAGAAAGCUUAAAUUUUAUUAAAAGACGAGAAGACCCUAUAGAGUUUUAUAGAAUUGAAUUUUUUUCUUUUUUAGAAUUUUUAAAUUAAAAAUUUAGUUUUAUUUGGUUGGGGCGAUUAAAAAAUUAAUAAAACUUUUUUCUAUUUUUACAUUAAUUUAUGAAUUAUUGAUCCAUUAUUUAUGAUUAUAAGAUAAAAUUACCUUAGGGAUAACAGCGUAAUCUCUUUUGAGAGUUCUAAUCGAAAGGGGGGGUUGCGACCUCGAUGUUGGAUUAAAAUUAAAUUUUGGUGCAGAAGCUGAGAGUUUAGGUCUGUUCGACCUUUGAAAUUUUACAUGAUCUGAGUUUAAACCGGCGUGAGCCAGGUUGGUUUCUAUCUUUAUUUGAUUAAAAUAUUUUAGUAC